GAUGAACGCUGGCGGCGUGCCUAAUACAUGCAAGUCGAGCGAACAGACGAGGAGCUUGCUCCUCUGACGUUAGCGGCGGACGGGUGAGUAACACGUGGAUAACCUACCUAUAAGACUGGGAUAACUUCGGGAAACCGGAGCUAAUACCGGAUAAUAUAUUGAACCGCAUGGUUCAAUAGCGAAAGACGGUUUUGCUGUCACUUAUAGAUGGAUCCGCGCCGCAUUAGCUAGUUGGUAAGGUAACGGCUUAACAAGGCAACGAUGCGUAGCCGACCUGAGAGGGUGAUCGGCCACACUGGAACUGAGACACGGUCCAGACUCCUACGGGAGGCAGCAGUAGGGAAUCUUCCGCAAUGGGCGAAAGCCUGACGGAGCAACGCCGCGUGAGUGAUGAAGGUCUUCGGAUCGUAAAACUCUGUUAUUAGGGAAGAACAAAUGUGUAAGUAACUAUGCACGUCUUGACGGUACCUAAUCAGAAAGCCACGGCUAACUACGUG
rnacentral:rRNA from 1 species